AGUGAACGCUGGCGGUAGGCCCAACACAUGCAAGUCGAACGGCAGCACAGAGGAGCUUGCUCCUUGGGUGGCGAGUGGCGGACGGGUGAGGAAUACAUCGGAAUCUACUCUGUCGUGGGGGAUAACGUAGGGAAACUUACGCUAAUACCGCAUACGACCUACGGGUGAAAGCAGGGGAUCUUCGGACCUUGCGCGAUUGAAUGAGCCGAUGUCGGAUUAGCUAGUUGGCGGGGUAAAGGCCCACCAAGGCGACGAUCCGUAGCUGGUCUGAGAGGAUGAUCAGCCACACUGGAACUGAGACACGGUCCAGACUCCUACGGGAGGCAGCAGUGGGGAAUAUUGGACAAUGGGCGCAAGCCUGAUCCAGCCAUACCGCGAGGGUGAAGAAGGCCUUCGGGUUGUAAAGCCCUUUUGUUGGGAAAGAAAUCCAUCUGGUUAAUACCCGGGUGGGAUGACGGUACCCAAAGAAUAAGCACCGGCUAACUCCGUGCCAGCAGCCGCAGUAA
rnacentral:rRNA from 1 species